rnacentral:lncRNA from 1 species
CUGCCUCUCGAAAAGGAUCUCUUUCAUCCCUCAUCAGAAGAGGAGAAGAGGAAACACAAGAAAAAACACCUGGUGCAGAGUCCCAAUUCCUACUUUAUGGCUGUGAAGUGCCCAGGAUGCUAUAAAAUCACCACGGUCUUUAGCCAUGCACAAACGAUAGUCUUGUGUGUUGGCUGCUCCACUGGCCUCUGUCAGCCUACAGGUGAAAAAGCAAGGCUGACAGAAGGAUGCUCCGAAGGAUGCUCCUUUAGGAGCAAGCAGCACUGA